rnacentral:rRNA from 1 species
GUGGAUUAGAUACCCUGGUAGUCCACGCCGUAAACGAUGGAUACUAGCUGUUGGGGGCAACUUCAGUGGCUAAGCGAAAGUGAUAAGUAUCCCACCUGGGGAGUACGUUCGCAAGAAUGAAACUCAAAGGAAUUGACGGGGGCCCGCACAAGCGGUGGAGCAUGUGGUUUAAUUCGAUGAUACGCGAGGAACCUUACCAAGGCUUAAAUGUAGAUUGACAGAUUUGGAAACAGAUUUUUCUUCGGACAAUUUACAAGGUGCUGCACGGUUGUCGUCAGCU